rnacentral:rRNA from 1 species
GACGAACGCUGGCGGCGUGCUUAACACAUGCAAGUCGAACGGAAAGGCCCUGCUGUUGUGGGGUGCUCGAGUGGCGAACGGGUGAGUAACACGUGAGUAACCUGCCCUUGACUUUGGGAUAACGUCAGGAAACUGGUGCUAAUACCGGAUAGGAGCGCCUGCUGCAUGGUGGGGGUUGGAAAGUUUCGGUGGGUGGGGAUGGACUCGCGGCUUAUCAGCUUGUUGGUGGGGUAGUGGCUUACCAAGGUUUGGACGGGUAGCCGGCCUGAGAGGGUGACCGGCCACAUUGGGAUUGAGAUACGGCCCAGACUCAUACGGGAGGCAGCAGUGGGGAAUAUUGCACAAUGGGCGGAAGCCUGAUGCAGCAACGCCGCGUGCGGGAUGACGGCCUUCGGGUUGUAAACCGCUUUCGCCUGUGACGAAGCGUGAGUGACGGUAAUGGGUAAAGAAGCACCGGCUAACUACGUG